AUUGAACGCUGGCGGCAGGCCUAACACAUGCAAGUCGAACGAGUGGCGGACGGGUGAGUAAUGUCUAAGAAACUGCCUGUUGGGGGGGGAUCACUACUGGAAACGGAAGCCUAUACCGCCUACCAUAGGCUUGGCCCAGAUGGGAAGGGAGAGUGGGUGGGGUAAAGGCUCACCUGGGCGACGACCCCUAGCUGGUCUGAGAGGAGGACCGUCAACACUGGAACGGAGACACGGUCCAGACGCCUACGGGAGGAAGAAGGGGGGAAUUGUGGAAAAUGGGCGAAAGCCGGAUGCAGCAAGGCCGGGUGUAGGAAGAAGGCCUUCGGGUUGUAAAGUACGUUAAGCGGGGAGGCGGUACCCGAAGAAGAAGCACCGGCUAACUCCGUGCCAGCAGCCGCGGUAAUAC
rnacentral:rRNA from 1 species